UAUUGCACAAUGGGGGAAACCCUGAUGCAGCGACGCCGCGUGAGUGAAGAAGUAUUUCGGUAUGUAAAGCUCUAUCAGCAGGGGAGAAAGAAAUGACGGUACCUGAGUAAGACGCACCGGCUAACUACGUGUCAGCAGCCGCGGUAAUACGUAGGGGGCAAGCGUUAUCCGGAAUUACUGGGUGUAAAGGGAGCGUAGAAGGUGAUGUAAGUCUGGAGUGAAAGGCGGGGGCCCAACCCCCGGACUGCUCUGGAAACUAUGUGACUGGGGUGCAGGAGAGGUGGGCGGAAUUCCUAGUGUAGCGGUGAAAUGCGUAGAUAUUAGGAGGAACACCAGUGGCGAAGGCGGCUCACUGGACUGUAACUGACGUUGAGGCUCGAAAGCGUGGGGAGCAAACAGG
rnacentral:rRNA from 1 species